GGGGUUGUGGCUCAGCGGUAGAGUUCUCGCCUAGCACAUUGGAGGCCCUGAAUUCGAUCCUCAGCACCACA
rnacentral:tRNA from 1 species